rnacentral:misc_RNA from 1 species
UAACUCUUUCACUAGUUUCAUCCAUAAUACAAUAUCAUAUGCAAAUAAUAUGCACCAAGGGACAUCAUUUUGAAUAUGACUAGUCAACUUAUCCAUAACUAAGGCAAACAAGUACAGACUUAAAGUCAAUCCUUGGGGAAGUGUAAACCCGUAAUUAUGGGAAGCUCGUCUGUGUCCCUUACUGCUGUCCUUAGAGUUAUGACUCACCCCGCAUACAUGUCCCUAAUAGCAUUUGUAUGCUUAAGAUUGACUCUUUUCUUUUCUAACAUCCACUAAAGGACUUUUUUCGGUACUUUAUCAUAUGUCUUUCUAGGUCAAUGAAUACCACAUGGAGAUCCUUUUUCUUCUUUUUCUUCUCUCUAUAUAUUUUCAUUAAUCUUCUUACUAAAAAGAUACUCUAUUGUAAACCUACCAUGCAUAAGGCCAAAAUGGUUCUCCAAUACCUUAGUAGUG